rnacentral:rRNA from 1 species
GAUUUACUGGGCGUAAAGGGCGCGUAGGCGGCCACCGCAAGUCGACUGUGAAAUCUCCGGGCUUAACCCGGAAAGGUCAGCCGAUACUGCGGGGCUAGAGUGCAGAAGGGGCAACUGGAAUUCUCGGUGUAGCGGUGAAAUGCGUAGAUAUCGAGAGGAACACCUGCGGCGAAGGCGGGUUGCUGGGCUGACACUGACGCUGAGGCGCGAAAGCUAGGGGAGCGAACGGGAUUAGAUACCCCGGUAGUCCUAGCCUUAAACGAUGAAUGCUUGGUGUCUGGGGUUUUAUAGUCCCCGGGUGCCGUCGCUAACGCUUUAAGCAUUCCGCCUGGGGAGUACGGUCGCAAGACUGAAACUCAAAGGAAUUGACGGGGACCCGCACAAGCGGUGGAGCAUGUGGUUUAAUUCGACGCAACGCGAAGAACCUUACCUGGGCUAGAAUGCCUCUGACAACCCUAGAGAUAGGGCCUUCUGGGUAAAACCAGACAGAGUGCAAGGUGCUGCAUGGCU